AUUGAACGCUGACAGAAUGCUUAACACAUGCAAGUCAACUGUGGCGGACGGGUGAGUAACGCGUAAAGAACUUGCCCCACGGAUAGGGACAACAUUUGGAAACGAAUGCUAAUCCCUGAUACUGUGAGAGCGCUUUGCGUCCCAUUAGCUCGUUGGAGAGGUAACGGCUCACCAAGGCGAUGAUGGUUAGCCGGCCUGAGAGGGUGAUCGGCCACAAGGGGACGGAGGCACGGCCCUUACUCCUAAGGGGGGCAGCAGUGGGGAAUAUUGGACAAUGGACCAAAGUCUGAUCCAGAAAUUCUGUGUGCACGAUGAAGUUUUCGGAAUGUAAAGUGCUUUCAGUUGGGAAGCGGUACCAACAGAAGAAGUGACGGCUAAAUACGUGCCAGCAGCCGCGGUAAUAC
rnacentral:rRNA from 1 species